AUCUUACACAACGAAAGCCCUACCUCUCUUUCGUCCUUUCGGCUCCGAAGCCGAUCCAGUGUGAAUAAGUCUUUCUCAAAU
rnacentral:sRNA from 1 species